rnacentral:rRNA from 1 species
GCUGGCGGCGUGGAUAAGACAUGCAAGUCGAACGAGAGAAUUGCUAGCUUGCUAAUAAUUCUCUAGUGGCGCACGGGUGAGUAACACGUGAGUAACCUGCCCCCGAGAGCGGGAUAGCCCUGGGAAACUGGGAUUAAUACCGCAUAGUAUCGAAAGAUUAAAGCAGCAAUGCGCUUGGGGAUGGGCUCGCGGCCUAUUAGUUAGUUGGUGAGGUAACGGCUCACCAAGGCGAUGACGGGUAGCCGGUCUGAGAGGAUGUCCGGCCACACUGGAACUGAGACACGGUCCAGACACCUACGGGUGGCAGCAGUCGAGAAUCAUUCACAAUGGGGGAAACCCUGAUGGUGCGACGCCGCGUGGGGGAAUGAAGGUCUUCGGAUUGUAAACCCCUGUCAUGUGGGAGCAAAUUAAAAAGAUAGUACCACAAGAGGAAGAGACGGCUAACUCUGUGCCAGCAGCCGCGGUAAUACAGAGGUCUCAAGCGUUGUUCGGAAUCACUGGGCGUAAAGCGUGCGUAGGCUGUUUCGUAAGUCGUGUGUGAAAGGCGCGGGCUCAACCCGCGGACGGCACAUGAUACUGCGAGACUAGAGUAAUGGAGGGGGAACCGGAAUUCUCGGUGUAGCAGUGAAAUGCGUAGAUAUCGAGAGGAACACUCGUGGCGAAGGCGGGUUCCUGGACAUUAACUGACGCUGAGGCACGAAGGCCAGGGGAGCGAAAGGGAUUAGAUACCCCUGUAGUCCUGGCAGUAAACGGUGCACGCUUGGUGUGCGGGGAAUCGACCCCCUGCGUGCCGGAGCUAACGCGUUAAGCGUGCCGCCUGGGGAGUACGGUCGCAAGAUUAAAACUCAAAGAAAUUGACGGGGACCCGCACAAGCGGUGGAGUAUGUGGCUUAAUUCGAUGCAACGCGAAGAACCUUACCUGGGCUUGACAUGUAAUGAACAACAUGUGAAAGCAUGCGACUCUUCGGAGGCGUUACACAGGUGCUGCAUGGCCGUCGUCAGCUCGUGUCGUGAGAUGUUUGGUUAAGUCCAGCAACGAGCGCAACCCCUGUUGCCAGUUACCAGCACGUGAAGGUGGGGACUCUGGCGAGACUGCCCAGAUCAACUGGGAGGAAGGUGGGGACGACGUCAGGUCAGUAUGGCCCUUAUGCCCAGGGCUGCACACGUACUACAAUGCCCAGUACAGAGGGGGCCGAAGCCGCGAGGCGGAGGAAAUCCUGAAAACUGGGCCCAGUUCGGACUGUAGGCUGCAACCCGCCUACACGAAGCCGGAAUCGCUAGUAAUGGCGCAUCAGCUACGGCGCCGUGAAUACGUUCCCGGGUCUUGUACACACCGCCCGUCACAUCAUGGAAGCCGGUCGCACCCGAAGUAUCUGAAGCCAACCGCAAGGAGGCAGGGUCCUAAGGUGAGACUGGUAACUGGGAUGA